AUGCUCACUUCGGCACCACAUAUACUAAAACUGGAAUGCUAGAGAGAAGAUUAGCAUGGCCCUUAUGCAAGGAUGACGAGUAAAUUCGUGAAGCGUUCCAUAUUAAA